CACACACACAGUGCCCGGCGGGUCACAGGCACUCUCUCGCCCUAUGUGGAGACCAUCUGCAAGUGCACCUGGACCAGGCGUCGCCCACCUAUUCAAACCGACCUAUGACCCCUCCAGUACAGUAAAUGACCAGCCCUUUGACCUAUGGGUGAAGAGAUUACAGUUUCUAUUGAAUCAUGAUUUGGACAAAUGGCCGGUCAUUGACAUUCUCUGAAGGUAAUCUAUCCUGAGGACCAGGACCGGGUGGCGCUGGCGAAACAAACUGGAGACCAUCUGCAAGUGCACCUGGACCAGGCAUCGCCCACCUAUUCAAACCGACCUAUGACCCCUCCAGUACUGUAAAUGACCAGCCCUUUGACCUAUGGGUGAAGAGAUUACAGUUUCUAUUGAAUCAUGAUUUGGACAAAUGUAUCAAAGCCACGCUGCCUGGCCGGUCAUUGACAUUCUCUGAAGGUAAUCUAUCCUGAGGACCAGGACCGUGUGGCGCCUGCGAA